ensembl:lncRNA
GGACAGAGAUUUAACAGGCAGGCUCAAAAGUUGUUUACUCUUUUGUGACUGAGUACUCUAGGCACUCAUGCUGAAGUCUGAAACAUGAGACUUGCAGCCUGCAGCUCUGCCAUUGGAUGACUGUGUUUCCAUGGUCAUCCCGUUAACUCCUUUGAAAAAGGGCCUGGAGAUGGACUGAAAACUUCAGCCAUCUUCAGGAAUUUGAUUAAGAAAAUAUAUUGUUUUGCUGAUUAUACAAGUGCAUAAACUAGCAGUUACUCCAUUAAGGGUUGUUGCCUUCAAAGUUUGGCUCAAGAACCUGCUGUUUGAGAAAAGCUUGACCACAGUGCUAAAGAGGUUUUCCCAGACUGUAGUCAGGGGAUUUUUCCUGAACUGCUCAUCAGUUCUUGCUGCCCUGCACACUGAAAUCAUGAAAUACUGUAUAUCACUCUCUAAAAAGGAAAAGUAAAUAUCAGAGUGUUCUAACUGAGGUCAUAUUUUCUCCAUGUCUAGACAUCACUGGUAAUCUCUCUCUUUUAUAAUACUGCUGUGUUUCCAUGUACUCAGCUGUGAGGAAAGCACUUUGCACUUAGUUGCAUAAAAUAUGCUGAAUUUCCAGACAACUUUCAAUACAGCAUCUCAGAUUGUUUAGGCUGGUGUUUGUGAUCUUUUCUGAAAUCAGAUUUUUCCUCUGGUGGAGUCUUGCUUAGUAAACCAAUGGCAAAUCUGGAACAAAAAAUAUGACUGAUGUGGUUCCAUAAUGCCCAGCUUGUUAAGCAAAUGCUGUUGAAUCAAGUCCCCAGUAAACAAGCUAAACUUCUUGUUCCACUAGAAAUAUAUUUUACUAAGAAUCUUUGUAGAUCAUUCUUUAUGCAAAAAAAUAUUGUCUCAAGUGAUGGUUUUGAGCAGAAUAAAGUGAACAUUUAAUAAAUG